AACGUAGGAGACAAACGUUAUCCGGAGUUACUGGGCGUAAAGGGCGUGUAGGUGGUUUCGUAAGUCUGGCGUGAAAUUUUUCGGCUUAACCGGGAAAGGUCGUCGGAUACUGCGGAACUAGAGGACGGUAGAGGCGUGUGGAAUUCCGGGUGUAGUGGUGAAAUGCGUAGAGAUCCGGAGGAACACCAGUGGCGAAGGCGACACGCUGGGCCGUACCUGACACUGAUGCGCGACAGCAUGAGGAGCAAACAGG
rnacentral:rRNA from 1 species